UACGUAGGCAGCAAGCGUUGUUCGGAAUUACUGGGCGUAAAGAGUGUGUAGGCGGUGUUCUAAGUCUGUCGUGAAAUCUCCCGGCUUAACUGGGAGGGUGCGGCGGAAACUGGAGUGCUAGAGGGUGGGAGAGGAAAGCGGAAUUCCUGGUGUAGCGGUGAAAUGCGUAGAUAUCAGGAAGAACACCCGUGGCGAAAGCGGCUCUCUGGAACGGUACUGACGCUGAGACGCGAAAGCGUGGGGAGCGAACAGG
rnacentral:rRNA from 1 species